AGUGAACGCUGGCGGCAGGCCUAACACAUGCAAGUCGAACGGCAGCACGGCAGUAGCAAUACUGUGGGUGGCGAGUGGCGGACGGGUGAGGAAUACAUCGGGAUCUACCCUGUUGUGGGGGAUAACGUAGGGAAACUUACGCUAAUACCGCAUACGAUCUCUGGAUGAAAGCGGGGGACCGCAAGGCCUCGCGCGAUUGGAGCGGCCGAUGGCAGAUUAGGUAGUUGGUGGGGGUAAAGGCGUCACCAAGCCGACGAUCUGUAGCUGGUCUGAGAGGACGACCAGCCACACUGGGACUGAGACACGGCCCAGACUCCUACGGGAGGCAGCAGUGGGGAAUUUUGGACAAUGGGCGAAGCCUGAUCCAGCCAUUCCGCGUGCAGGAUGAAGGCCCUCGGG
rnacentral:rRNA from 1 species